ensembl:lncRNA
GUGAAAGUAUUUUGACUCCUCGUUACUGAUGUAAGUAAUCAAGCUGGAUGUAAUCCUGGCUCUCACUCCACUCCCUUUUCUUGCAAGGCUGCUUUCUGGCCAUUCUAGUGAUGCAACCUGACAAGCCAUAGCACCAACAAUGGGGAAGGAAGAACUGUAUGAGCCUGCCUAACUCCAGGCUGAAGCUGUUGUGUGAGGAGGAAUCCAGUUGCACAAACCUCAACAGAAGUCAUGCCACACCACGUUGCUGUGGGAGAAUGUUCUCAUCUCUAUUUCCUUUGGGAUGUUUGAAAUCAUGAGAUUUGUGUGCAUGUUAAGUGCCUACUAUUUUCAGUGUCCUGUUUAAGGUGCAGUCUAUAAUGCAGCUGGGAAAAAGAGAACACAGAUUUGAGAGAGGUUUCUCCUUACAUAUACCCUUUGGAGGUUUGGAGCAGACCACCUGGGAGUUCAUAAACUCCUGAGGGACUGAUGAGAUCCCCCCUGCAUGUGAAAUUUCUAAAAUAUACUCUAACUUCGGUUGCAAAUGUUCCAGGGUCAAAUAGUCCCAAAUAGGCACUCAAACAAGUAGGAGGAAGGGGCCAAUGAGGACCUCAUGAAAUUCAGCCAGAAUGAAUGCUGAGUCCUGCACCUGUGAAGGAUGAACCCUAGAGCUGAUAGAGGCUGGAGAGUGGCUUGGCAGGAAAGGCCUUGAAUGCCUUCACUUAGAGGUGGUGGGCUCUUCUCAGCACAUCUGAAGGAAGGACAAGAGACAGAGUAGCCUUGUCUGAGCUCAGACCUAACCUUGCUUUGAGCAAGAAGUUAAACUCAGGAUGUCCCGAUGUCCCUUCCCACCUGAGUUAUCCUGUGCUCCUGUGCUGCCUUUAGAAGUCUGAGGCUCCCAUCCCCAGUCUGCCUCCAUCUCGCUGUGAGAAGCUGCCUUAGCCUCCCUGGUUUUUGUCUCCCGUUUUGAACCAUGUUCUGUAAAGUGAUUUCUAUUCCAAAGCAGCAGAGUCGUGUUAUGGCCAUGUUCUGAUUUAUUGUGUUUGCAUACAGUCAUGAGCUGCAGUGGAGCUAUACAUUUCUCUGAGUGAAGGGGGUAGGUUACAUGCUUUAUUACCCAUUACAGGGCUUUGAAAUAACCGGUCUCUUACUAUGAAUAUAUUAUUUUUCCUAACAGCAAAGCUGAACUGCGAGUCUGCAUGGUGUGCAUGGUGGUGCCACUAGAUGUCCCUUGUCACCCAAGUGAUGUUGGUGGCUCAUCCCCAGUGCUAUAUGAUGUAGCACUGUAAAGAAAUCAGUGUUUAAAGCAUUCGAUAUAGAGAGAUGUUGUGGCUGUCUCAAAAAGAAGACUUGUGUUAUCCUCAGAAAGCUGACAUCUUGGCGAGGACAUCUGUGCCACUCAGCAUGCCUAUGCCCUUGCACAGCUUCACCUGGGCUUCUGUGGAGUGAUUCCUGCUCGCCCUUGUCCCCCAUGGUGCUCUGUGCACCUACCAUUGCUGUAUGAGUAGGGGGAUGCGCCUGUCCCCAUGCUGCCCUGAAAGCUUCUGUGCCGUGUUAUCAGCCCCAGGAUGUGUCGCUGCAGUGUGUGAUCGCACAGACCAUGCUGCUGAGUAUUCAGAGUCACAUACGCUCGCCUGAAUGACUGAAAUGAAGUAUUUGCUGCUUUCUACUUCAUUUAAACCUGCGGGAGCUGGUAGUGCUCAUCCUCCCCACACACUGAGGUAUCCACACGUGCCACUCACCAGCCUGGGGCUUCUUCCCCAAGCAAUGGCUGAGCAAAUCUCUUAAUAACAGAGCAACUACUCGCAGAUUAUUGUGAUCAUAAUUUGGCUGACAUAGCCUUUAUUACUAAUGGCAAUGCUGGAAAUGGAAAACCCAGCUUGAUGCUCAGCUCCCUGCUGGAAAGUAAUAAAAUAAAGAGGAACAAAAUCAGUGAGUGUAUUUGCUACCAAACCUUUGAAAAACACAAAAGUGGAACCCUGCCAAUGCUGUUGCUGGCGGUUUUUCAGACCAGAGCCUCUCUCCAAGGUAGGAUUAGAAGUGGAAGUGCAUUUGUAUCUAUGACAUUAGUAUCAUGUUGUUGUGUAUGAAUGGAGGAUUUGCAAUCAUUUGACAUCUAUUGGUUUCUAUUGCAAUUAUGGCACGCUGCUUUUUUUUUUACCUUCAGCAUAUUCUUUAACAUCUUCCAGUCAUGGAAUAAGUAGAAGACAACUUCAGUUAUUGUCACAAUCAAACAAACAAAGACAAGUGUUGUUUUUUUUUUGCCAACUCAAAGAAUGGUCAAAAGAGGAGUUUCAUUGAAAAUGUUCUGAUAAAAAUGGAGGAUGUCGCAGCUUUUCAGUGAGGUCUUUGUUGACAACAUGAGCUGAGGGAGGUUGGCUUUUACAUAGCCUCUUUUGUCCAUCUUUGUGCAAUGGCAGAAUUCACAGCUAAAUUCUGAUGGCAGAAAUUUCUUGUCUGAGAAUGGUAUGAUAUCAUAUAGAUUCAUUAAAAAAAAAAACCAUCCCCAGACCAUAGCUCGGAUUUUGAAUACCAGAAUGAGCCUUCAGUGCUAAGGAAUGAGCCUCCAGUGCUGAGAAUACAGAAAAAGCUAUUAAUUUUUUUUCUUAAACAUAAAGAGAACCACUUGAUAAAAUCAGUUGCAAAUAAAGGAGGAAUGUAAAUGCACUUUUCAAUUAUUUUUUUAUUUCCCUCCCUCUCUCUCUCUCUUUUUUUUUUUUUCCAUGUUAAUACUUCUUUGGCUCUUGGUUCAUAACCAUCCAGUAAUUAUAAUUAUAAAGGAAACUAACUUUUACCGUGCUAAUUAAACUGUAUGUCACAUAGGCAUUCGGGGAGAAUUUCCCAUGCUUUCUAGCAUGAAUGGAAGGAAAGAGCAGCGGUGCUCAAUUUAAACUCGAUUUUUUUCUGGUACCUUGCAAAAAGGCUUCAUUGUAUUUUGAUUAAUCCAUGCUUGGUCCACCUCGGAUGUUUCCAUGGAAACAGAAUUUUUUUUUUCUUGAUGGCAACUGUUAGGCUCAGGAAGGUUCCUCUCCACACAAAACCACUCUGGCUCCUAAAGAACUACUUGUUGGAAAUUUAAUGUGCAUAAACAAAACUCCCAAAUUCCUCCUCAGUAUUACGGCAUUAUUGUUGUCAACGCUAAUAGAGAAGUGUUUUCUUAAUGGUACAGAGUGGUGCCUUUUCACUCCACAAGAAAAUAGAAUGUUACUAUUAUUUCUACUGCCAGAGAGUGCUUUUCUUGGUCCAGGAAAAAUUAGAUUGCAAACCUUUCAAAAUUAAAUUUUAAGAGUUCCAAUGUGUGAAUAUUAUCUAGUUCUAGGCAUAAAUCAUUUGCCUUAAUGGCUGUAAAAAAAUUAAUUAAACUUGCCUUGUCGAUUGGCAGUAAUUUGAAUAAAUUAUUCUUCUGUGUCAUAUUAUUAUUUUUUUUUUUCAAAGAAAGAAAGAAUCUCUUCAUACGCACUGCUAUUAUGGUUGGAAUAGGUUUUAAAAGUCGGCCAACAGGGGGAGCAUUUGUAUGGUAUUAUUAAUGUCACAAAGUGGUUGGAAACACGACCAUAUUUUUUUGUCUAAAAUUAUUAGAAUUCUUGACCAUUUUUUAAAAUAGAAAAGGUUUUGGUUUGGAGUGUUUCAGCUUCUGAAAAAUCAAAUCUUGACUUCUGCUGACAGUACAAGAAGCUAUUUUAAAGUGAUGGUUGGGUUUGUUGUUUGGAAAAAUUGAAGUUUUAGACCACAGAUAAAAUAUUAUUUUGGUUGAAAAGCAAUUUUUGGUUAAAAGUAUGUGGAGGAAACCCAUUCAAGCACCUCUAAUUGAAAUUUGACUUGUUAUUUUUAUUUCAGUGACAUCCAUACCACAUCAUAUAAGAUGGCGUAGAAAUAUAAAAUGUAAAUAUGUAUAUUAGAGUAAAGCCCUGACACCAGUGCUUGUAAAAGUCAAGGCAGAGAUGAGAGAAAAAGAGCUGUUGAUUUAUUCAUCCUUCUUUUUGUUUCAUCUUUUUUCAUCAUGAGAAGGAAUCUGCCAAAUGGAAAAAGGAAGAUCUCUUUGAGUGCAAAAUAGAAUUUUCAAGCUUUCUCCAAGUACAUACUGCGAAUAGGAAGUAUAC